CAGCCGCCGCGGGAAUACGAAGGGUGCAAGCGUUAAUCGGAAUUACUGGGCGUAAAGCGUGCGUAGGCGGUUUGUUAAGUCUGUUGUGAAAUCCCCGGGCUCAACCUGGGAAUGGCAAUGGAUACUGGCAAGCUAGAGUGUGUCAGAGGAUGGUGGAAUUCCCGGUGUAGCGGUGAAAUGCGUAGAGAUCGGGAGGAACAUCAGUGGCGAAGGCGGCCAUCUGGGACAACACUGACGCUGAGACACGAAAGCGUGGGGAGCAAACAGGAUUAGAUACCCGAGUAGUCCCUGUCUCUUAUAC
rnacentral:rRNA from 1 species